UAAUUUUAUAUACAGGAUCAAGGAAACAUUCUAUUUUGAGAAGAAAAUAGCAGGAUAAAGCAAAACAAAAACUCCCAAAAAAACAGAAAAGAAAUGUGCCAUUUCACACUGCAAGACUACAUAAAGAAGAAGACUCGAAGCCCAAUUUUAUAUCAUCAUUAGGAUCACUAUAGAGGUAUAAUCUUCAGAAUGAAUAGCACAGCAUUUGUAUUUGGUAUUGUUCUCCUAGCUUUAGGUAUGCAAGAAUCAUUUCAGCAAGUUUGUACAAACAAAUUUUGUAAAACUCGCCCAAACAGCAUUGGAUGUGAAGGUUGUUGUGUAGGAUUUAAGUGUAACGGCGCGGUUGGUUAUUGCGAAAAUUCUAAAUGUUAUUGCAACGGCUGUGAAAUGACAGCUUCAGCUGGCGAGGAUUCUGGGACAUUUGCAGCCAACACAGUGACAAAUCAUGUAAUGAAGUAAUACAAAAAGGACAUAAAUAUAUAUAAACUGCUAAAUGAUAGAAAUUGUUAUGCUUCCUUGCCAGAGAAUUGCAUUAAAAUCUUUAAUU